UUUGAGAACCGUGUUGUUUCAAGAAUUAUUUGUUCUAUAUAUAUAAAGAAAAGAAAAAAACAGUUGCAAUAUUGUAUUUAGCAGAAGUACGUGAAUUAAUGCCUCCAGGUAGGCCUAUACAAGACUAUAGUCCUGGACAAUUUGAAAACCAUUUCAGUCAAAGAAGAAAAAACAGAUGAGAUAUGUGCUAAGCCAGACACCAUGAAGUGACUAAUGGCAGAGAUGAAGGCUGAGAGAAGGAGUUUUGUGAGCGACCUGCACAUGCUGCUGGAAGCUUAAAAUGGCGCAGACGUGACUCUGGUGCCCAGGGGCUCGGAGCAGUCAGCACAAUCACAUCCUGGCAGGGAGGAGCCCCGUCUUCGACGCCAUGUUGUGUUUCUUGCAUGUCACUUCACAACAUAGCUGCGAACACGGGGCUUCUUGCUGGCAUGUCGCAGAUUAAGCAUGCAGCCACUUAGCAGAGAACGCACCAAUCAGGUGAGAUUUUCUGACGACGAGCGGUGACGGCGCUAAAGCGUCCUGUAAAAUGGCGGUUGCCGAAUAUUCGGAAUUCUCCAUUAACACCCUUCAUCUGUUGUUCUCUGAUAUUACGGCACACUGGAACAGGCAUGGCACGCUUCAGCAGAGGGAAAACAACCCAGAACUCCAUCUGCGUUCUUCGCAUCACCGAACACAACAGCAUUCGCUGCAUAUAUCUGGCGACGGAAGGAACGUCAUAUAUUUUGAAAUGUGUUUGUAUUUAUUUAAACCCGUAGUUUUAAGUGUCUGGUAUCUGAGAAAUUGUUGAAAUUUAUUUUGAUAUCAAAAUACGUAAAUCUCUAUACAGUGCAGCAGAACUACGUGAAAAUUAAAUUUUGAAUGGAAAUAUGUGAAGGACACGCUACACGAUGCGAAAUUCAGUUUAGCCAGUACAUGAAACAAUCCGCCUGCGAAAGAGCGAUCCGUUUUCAAUGUAAUUUAUAUACACUACUUAUCUACAAAAAAAAUUAAUCAGAUUAAAAUGUUAGCCCUGAAUACUGUCAAUCUUUAUCUUCAGACAUGCAACCAG